GUCUGUCUGCGCAGGCGCGAGGCAGGAGUUAAGUUCUAACUGGUCCUUGUGACUGAGCGGGCUGGAGGUCUUGUCAGGGCCGCAGCUUUUCCUGGAGGGACGGUUUUCCCUUUCCCCUCGCCUGAGUUAAGAGGAUAAAGCAUCCUGAUGCUGAGCAUCACCAAGACACAGAGGAUGACGUGAACAGUUAGGACACAGGACUGCUAGGCUAUGGAUGGUGCAGGAAACCAGAUGUCAUGAGCUUAACAGAAUCUGCAAUUACAUCUGACACCUUGAUGCCUUCCUUUCCUUUGGAACUUUCUUUCUUCUGUGGCAGCAGUCAGAAGCUUCCCCAAGGAGGGUGGAUGCUGAGAUAGUCUCUCCAUGCUCACUUGGAGGCCUCAGAUUCCAGAGAACAGAGCUACAAGACAGAAGAGGGUGGCCUGGUCUGCUUCAGACAUGUGAUGUGAAUGAGAAAGAAUCUUCUAAUGUCAGCGUCACAAAAGACAAAGCCUGUGGCAAUAUUUCAGAUUAAAAGAGGCAACUAAUUGCAGUAUUCACCCCUAGAAUGGAUCAUAUACGAGAAGGGGGAUAAUGCUACAAGAAACAUACUAAGAUCAACUGAUGAAAUUAAAAUAUGAAUAUGAGAGGAGAUUUUAAGAAGUAUUAGUGUUAUCUGUAAAGAUGACAAUUGUAACUAUAGUUACAUAGGAGACCUCUCUAUUCUUAGGGCAUAUACACCUAAGUAUUUAGGGACAAAGAACCACAUGUUAUGUAAGUUAAAUGCAAAUGGGGUAAAAUGUUAACAAUGAGUAAAUCUGGAUAAAAGAUAUUUGGAUGUUCCUUGUACUAUUUUUAGUUUUGCAACUUUUUGUAAGCUUGAAAUAAUUUCCAAAUUGUUAAAAAAUAAAAUGUUAUUAAGUCACUAAGGUGUCAGAGUUUACUGUUGCCACAUCAUUGCCCAUAUUUUCUUGACCAGUACAGAUGGAAUUGAGAAGAUGUUGCAGGGCUAGCAAAUUAAUUGAGAGGAUAAGGAAAGAGUUCCUAGAAGAAGAUUGUUUGAAAAAUAAGGAGGAAUUAAACAAGUGAAGAGGGAGGAGUAUUCCAAGCAGAGGAACUAUAUAUGAAAGCCAGUAGCGAGAGAGUAUGGUACAUUCACAGAAUAGAAAGAAUUCAGCAUGGCUAGGAUGUAGAGCUUGAGCAGGGAAGAGAUUAGAAAUGAAGCUGGAGAUGUAGGCAGGUCCAAGUUCCAAAGGGACAUUGAAGCUGUGUUAUGGUGUUUGGAUUUUAUACUAAGGGCAGUGGAAAACCAUGAAGGGUUUUAAGCAAGAGAGUGCCUUAAUGGUUACAUUUUAAAAUGGACUGGAAGGGAAUAACAGUAUUUCAGGAAAGGUCAGUGGGGUAAUGGCCAGAGGGAUGGAGAGAUGUGGGAGAUUUGAGGUUUGAAAGCUGGUUAGGAAAUGAAGUCUGUUGUCCUAGGUGAUGAGAUAAGCUUCUGCGGUGCCAAUGGAAAUAGGUUCUUGCCACUCUUGUGUCUCAGUUUCUGUCCUAGCUCUCUGGG